rnacentral:rRNA from 1 species
AGAACGAACGCUGGCGGCAGGCUUAACACAUGCAAGUCGAGCGCCCUGCAAGGGGAGCGGCGGACGGGUGAGUAACACGUGGGAACAUGCCCUUUGGUUCGGAACAACUCAGGGAAACUUGAGCUAAUACCGAAUGUGCCGGUAACGGGAAAGAUUUAUCGCCAAGGGAUUGGCCCGCGUCCGAUUAGCUAGUUGGUGAGGUAAAGGCUCACCAAGGCUCCGAUCGGUAGCUGGUUUGAGAGAACGACCAGCCACACUGGGACUGAGACACGGCCCAGACUCCUACGGGAGGCAGCAGUGGGGAAUCUUGGACAAUGGGGGAAACCCUGAUCCAGCCAUGCCGCGUGAGUGAUGAAGGCCUUCGGGUUGUAAAACUCUUUCGGACGGGGACGAUAAUGACGGUACCCGUAGAAGAAGCUCCGGCUAACUUCGUGCCAGCAGCCGC